rnacentral:rRNA from 1 species
UACGUAGGGUGCGAGCGUUGUCCGGAAUUACUGGGCGUAAAGAGCUCGUAGGCGGUUUGUCGCGUCUGCUGUGAAAACUGGAGGCUCAACCUCCAGCCUGCAGUGGGUACGGGCAGACUAGAGUGCGGUAGGGGAGAUUGGAAUUCCUGGUGUAGCGGUGGAAUGCGCAGAUAUCAGGAGGAACACCGAUGGCGAAGGCAGAUCUCUGGGCCGUAACUGACGCUGAGGAGCGAAAGCAUGGGGAGCGAACAGG